UGGGCUAAGGGUUAAAUGAUAAAGAAUAAGGCAACUCUAGGUAGGUGCAGAGAAUGGGGGAAGAGCAAAAGAUUCUGUAGGACAUCUCAAAUUUUAAGGCACGCAUAAAUCUCUCAGGAAUUGUGAUAAAUGCAUUCUGAUUUAGCAGAUCUCAGGUGAAACAUGGGGUGGGGCUCUCAUUUCUGACAAGCUACGGCACAGGUGAGGCAAGGCUACCCACCCUGGAACCACACUCACUCCAAACAGCAAGGAUGAAGGCCAUGACAAGGGGUUUGGAUUUUACUUUAAAUGAGACAGAAAGAAACUAUGGAAGGACUUUAAAUAAGUGAGUGACUUGAACCCAGUUAUAUUUAACAUCAAUCUUGUUUCCUAGAACUCCACUGGGGAGAGAAGGAGCUUGGGCCUAUGCUGUUUGACAGGAACCAGCUGGCCCAGGCUGUCACGGUGGCAGCCUGGGCCUCAAGCUCAUCUGGACAGUUCACCCUGUCUCUCUCCUCCGCCUGCUCUGUGGAAUCCCUUGGAGCCAAGCAUGGGCCAGCCCAGUUGCCCUACAAGCUGGGGUGCCCCCAAGAAGUCCUGGAGCCUGACAGGGUGUGGAUCCACAACCCUGACAGCCUGCCUGGGGAGCUGCUGGAGCCCUACUGGUCAGACGCUAGCGGCACAUCUCAAGAAAAUCUCAGAGAACCCGAAAUGGAGACUCAAGGGCCGGCACUUGUCUCUGGGGAGGGAAGAAGAGCGUCCCUUUAAGAAAGACUGGACCAGCUGGCUGCAAGACAGCUCCCACAGAUUUCCUGGCUCACUCCCUGGCUCCGCCCCCCAGCCUCAGGCCUCAGCAACGCGUGACGUAAGAAGAAGCUGAUGCUGCCGAUUGGCUAAACGACGCAGCUAGGUCAAGUCCAGUCGGAGGAAAGAAGUUUGUCUCCAUGUGGAAACCAUGUGUCUAGUGGUGGGAGGGGGAAGAGGAGGAGGCGGAGAAACUGAGAUCUAGUGAUUACUGGGGAACUCGCUGAAAAGAAGGCGGGGAGGUUGUGCACCUGAGUCGACCAGCUUGGCCUUUGCAGUAGUGACCUAAAAAAAGAAUGAAUAAUAAAAAAAAGACUUGCACAACAAACAAAACUUGGGUAUCCCCCUAUCAUAAUAAUUAAAAAAGCUUGAGGGAGGGGGGUCCUUUGCCUCCUCCAAAAAGACAGGGACCAGGGAAAUGCUGGAAUCCUAUCGCGAACGCCCAGAUCCCUCUCCCUCCCCCCAACAACUGAAUGAUGUAAGCGUUUCGGAAAGCAGAGCUGUGGAGCAAAACAAGCCCCGCACGCGCGGAGCGACCCGCAGUGCCCGAGCCCCGCGCACGCACGACCCGCCCCUCGACUCGCGUUAUUGCUGUGC
rnacentral:lncRNA from 1 species